AUGCUAUCCAACAUUAAGGAAGAGUCAAAGACAGAGUUACAUGAGAAAGCUUCUGUCGAUGUGUUGUAUCAUGAAAUCAAUGUUGCAAGGAAGGAAGUGAAAAAGGAGAGCCUCAAUGGAGAACCUUUAAAUCCGAAUGGAGGUGUGGGAGAGUUGAAGGAAAAGAUGACAUGGUUAAAAGAGAUAAGCAAAGCUGGAAAGAAGGGGAAUUAA